AACCCGCCUCCUAGCGCUAGUGUAGCCAAUCGGAACGUGGGACCGGGGAACCGCUUUUGGCACAUGGGUAUUACGUCAUCUCUGUCCGGAAGUGUUCUUAUCCCAAAGCAGCUCGACCAGCUACAAGUGUCUAGCCCCUAGGUUCCGCUAAUUUCUAGGUUGCUGACCGAUUUCUGUUCAGAUCGCAAAGGGUGUAUUUGGAUCACAAGAAAAUAUUUUGCGCCCCUUGGCGGGCAACUGUGGAGUUGUGAUCAACCGGUGAACUUCCUAGUUCGCUUUUAGGACCUCUGUUUCAAUCUUCAGAUUAUGUAUUCUUCCCUGAAGUACGAGUAGCUACGAGAAGAUUUUAGGACAUAUAUCAAGAUAUAUCUUUGUAAGCUGAAAUUAUCUGCACCUAUUUUGAAGACAACAAAAGGCA